rnacentral:rRNA from 1 species
AUGUGGAUGGAUAAAAGUUGCUGGAAAUAUGAGCAUUUUCCCGAGUCAAAGAAAAAUGACGAGGCGGAGUCUCAAGGGAGCAUUGAUAUGCUUAAGCUGUUCAACUUGAAGCCAGCUUUGCCAACCACUUUCCCCAUGCCAGAUUUUAGUGACCAAGAGAUGUGUCAGAACAUCAACUUUGCCAUUGAUCAGAAGUUGUUCUUAUUAAGCGAGGGUGAAAAGAAUCAAGUUGACAUGGAGGAAGCAGGAAAGGGUCUGGACUGGGUUCAUUCGGAGGCAAAAUACAAGGAAUAUUUGAAGCAGCUUCCAGAUAUAAGCUCCAGCAAGAGCAAGGCAGCAUCCGUGGCAAACCCUCAUGUGGUACAGAAGCACAAAGCAGUUUCAAUGAAGAAGAAUAUGAAGUUGCCUCAAAUCCAGCAACAGAUGUUGAGGGCAGAUGCUGAAAUAAAUGCGGGGAAGGAAGCUGUCGCGCCAACUGUUGUGCCAACUGUAGUGAGCAGAGAGCCAACCAACACUCAAGAUGUGACAUCAAUACAUGUUGAGCCUACAACCAUGACAGGAGUUCAACAGAUCAAGGGGAAGACUCCUAUGUCAGCACGCCCACCUAAACCAGCUAAGCAACAAAAGAUUCUCAAGUUUGCCAAGGGCACAAAGGGGGAACAUGGCACAAAAGGUGUGGGGUUCAGACACGAGACAGAACAAUGUGCCACAGCCAUCGAUGCAGGAGUGCCAAGUUCAGCUAGAUUGCUGCCAACUGAGGCUGGAAAGAUUCCAACUACAGAUACUACUGUACCAACUGAAGUGUCAAUUAGCAGCGGGGUCAUAGUCAAAACUACCACUCUACUUAGGAAGGCACCACUACAACUGCAAGCCCCAAGGUGCCAACUCAUAUAG